UACGUAGGGUGCGAGCGUUAAUCGGAAUUACUGGGCGUAAAGCGUGCGCAGGCGGUUUUGUAAGCCAGAUGUGAAAUCCCCGGGCUUAACCUGGGAAUGGCAUUUGGGACUGCAAGGCUUGAGUUUGGCAGAGGAGACUGGAAUUCCUGGUGUAGCAGUGAAAUGCGUAGAUAUCAGGAGGAAUACCGAUGGCGAAGGUAGGUCUCUGGGCUAGAACUGACGCUCAUGCACGAAAGCGUGGGGAGCAAACAGG
rnacentral:rRNA from 1 species